GAUGAAGAACGUAGCGAAAUGCGAUACGUAGUGUGAAUUGCAGAAUUCAGUGAAUCAUCGAAUCUUUGAACGCACAUUGCACCUCUCGGUAUUCCGGGAGGUAUGCCUGUUCGAGCGUCAUUUGUACCCUCAAGCUCUGCUUGGUGUUGGGUGUUUGUUCCGCCUCUGUGUGUGAACUCGCCUCAAAACAAUUGGCAGCCGGCGUACUUGUUUCGGAGCGCAGCACAUUUUGCGAUCCAGAUCAACGUACAGCGGCAUCCAAGAAGCCUUAUUUAACGCUCUUGACCUCGGAUCAGGUAGGGAUACCCGCUGAACUUAAGCAUAUCAAUCGGAGGA
rnacentral:misc_RNA from 1 species